rnacentral:piRNA from 1 species
UCUGAGGUAAGAUGCCGCUUUCCCUAUAGC